rnacentral:rRNA from 1 species
UGUUGCGGUUAAAAAGCUCGUAGUUGGAUUUCUGUUGAGACUGGUCGGUCCCCGCUUUGCGAGAGUAUCUGAUCCGGCCUCGGCAUCCUCGCUGGAAACGCUACUACGCUUGAGUGCGUGGCGCGGCUUCGGCGGCCUUUACUUUGAGGGAUUUAGAGUGUUCACGGUAGGCAUGUGCCUUGUAUAAGUUAGCAUGGAAUAAUAGUAGAGGACUUGGGUUCUAUUUUGUUGGUUUCUAGAACUAGAGUAAUGGUUAAGAGGGAUAAUUGGGGGCAUUUGUAUUAACCUGUCAGAGGUGGAAUUCUUGGAUUAGGUUACGACGCACUACUGCGAAAGCAUUUGCCAUGGAUGUUUUCAUUGAUCAAGAACGAAAGUAUGGGGAUCGAAGAUGAUUAGAUACCGUCGUAGUCUAUACCAUAAACCAUGCCGACUAGGGAUAGAAGGUCGUUGUUUUACCGACCCUUUCUGCACCUUAGGAGAAAUUAAAGUCUUUGGGUUCCGGGGGGAGUAUGGUCGCAAGGCUGAAACUUA